rnacentral:rRNA from 1 species
GGUCUGUCAAGUCGGAUGUGAAAUCCCCGGGCUUAACCUGGGAACUGCAUUCGAAACUGGCAGGCUAGAGUCUUGUAGAGGGGGGUAGAAUUCCAGGUGUAGCGGUGAAAUGCGUAGAGAUCUGGAGGAAUACCGGUGGCGAAGGCGGCCCCCUGGACAAAGACUGACGCUCAGGUGCGAAAGCGUGGGGAGCAAACAGGAUUAGAUACCCUGGUAGUCCACGCCGUAAACGAUGUCGAUUUGGAGGUUGUGCCCUUGAGGCGUGGCUUCCGGAGCUAACGCGUUAAAUCGACCGCCUGGGGAGUACGGCCGCAAGGUUAAAACUCAAAUGAAUUGACGGGGGCCCGCACAAGCGGUGGAGCAUGUGGUUUAAUUCGAUGCAACGCGAAGAACCUUACCUGGUCUUGACAUCCACAGAACUUUCCAGAGAUGGAUUGGUGCCUUCGGGAACUGUGAGACAGGUGCUGCAUGGCUGUCGUCAGCUCGUGUUGUGAAAUGUUGGGUUAAGUCCCGCAACGAGCGCAACCCUUAUCCUUUGUUGCCAGCGGUCCGGCCGGGAACUCAAAGGAGACUGCCAGUGAUAAACUGGAGGAAGGUGGGGAUGACGUCAAGUCAUCAUGGCCCUUACGACCAGGGCUACACACGUGCUACAAUGGCAUAUACAAAGAGAAGCGACCUCGCGAGAGCAAGCGGACCUCAUAAAGUAUGUCGUAGUCCGGAUUGGAGUCUGCAACUCGACUCCAUGAAGUCGGAAUCGCUAGUAAUCGUAGAUCAGAAUGCUACGGUGAAUACGUUCCCGGGCCUUGUACACACCGCCCGUCACACCAUGGGAGUGGGUUGCAAAAGAAGUAGGUAGCUUAACCUUCGGGAGGGCGCUUACCACUUUGUGAUUCAUGACUGGGGUGAAGUCGUAACAAGGUAACCGUAGGGGAACCUGCGGUUGGAUCACCUCCUUA